CUGCGAUGAUGCUUUGAAUUUCUUCACCUGAAUGACUGUGUGGAGUAAAAACGAGCUUUUUAACACUGAGCUUC